rnacentral:rRNA from 1 species
UACGAAGGGGGCUAGCGUUGUUCGGAAUCACUGGGCGUAAAGGGCGCGUAGGCGGCUAGAUAAGUCGGGGGUGAAAGCCUGUGGCUCAACCACAGAAUUGCCUUCGAUACUGUCUGGCUUGAGACCGGAAGAGGUUAGUGGAACUGCGAGUGUAGAGGUGAAAUUCGUAGAUAUUCGCAAGAACACCAGUGGCGAAGGCGGCUCACUGGCCCGAUACUGACGCUGAGGUGCGAAAGCGUGGGGAGCAAACAGG